GUGCUUGCUUCGGCAGCACGUAUACUAAAAUUGGAACCAUACAGAGAAGAUUAGCAUGGCCCCUGUGCAAGGAUGAUAUGCAAAUUCGUGAAGCAUUCCAUAUUUUU
rnacentral:snRNA from 1 species